UAAGGGCGCACGGUGGAUGCCUUGGCACUAGAAGCCGAUGAAGGACGUUACUAACGACGAUAUGCUUUGGGGAGCUGUAAGUAAGCUUUGAUCCAGAGAUUUCCGAAUGGGGAAACCCAGCAUGAGUUAUGUCAUGUUAUCGAUAUGUGAAUACAUAGCAUAUCAGAAGGCACACCCGGAGAACUGAAACAUCUUAGUACCCGGAGGAAGAGAAAGAAAAUUCGAUUCCCUUAGUAGCGGCGAGCGAAACGGGAAGAGCCCAAACCAACAAGCUUGCUUGUUGGGGUUGUAGGACACUCUAUACGGAGUUACAAAGGACGACAUUAGACGAAUCAUCUGGAAAGAUGAAUCAAAGAAGGUAAUAAUCCUGUAGUCGAAAAUGUUGUCUCUCUUGAGUGGAUCCUGAGUACGACGGAGCACGUGAAAUUCCGUC
rnacentral:rRNA from 1 species